GUUGAAAUACUGCAAGCAACUCAAAACAUCACUAUCAUGCAAGUUGAUAAAGUUAUAGGUCAUAUUAAGAACUAUGAGACGAAGUACUAUGGAAAUUCCUAAAAACCUAAGGGCUGCUUGGAUUGCAACUCUCGGAACAGUUUUCUGUUCUGGGAGUUACAAAAAUUAAAAACAGUUUUUUUUUCUACUUGGAUCUAUUUCUUAAAAACAGUUUUUAUAAAACAGAGUUCUCAGAGUGUCAGUUUUAUGAGAACAAAAAAAAACCGUUUUGAUAGUUUUCUGAAAACUGGGCGCUACUUUGAAAACACGGAGAACUGAUAUUGGACUUAAAAAAAAAUACGGUGAUACCCUGUCGCUUAUAACAAAGGCGCUGCGUCUCUCUCCAACAUUUCUCUGCAACUUGCCUCUCUCUCUCUCAAGAUUGUUUCUUACUACAGAGAAGACAGAUCUACGGUUUUUGAAGGUCUCUUUAUUCAUGAAGAACAAACAUCACACCCUCUCUCCCUUUCUCUCUCUACAAUUACCCUCUCCCCUUUCUCUCUCUACGAUUACCCUCUCUCCUGUCCCUUUCUACGAUUCAUGGGGUUUUUGAUGUUUUCUAGCAUAUCUAAUCUGGGUUGAGGGUUUGAUUUGGUUUGUAUUCUCUAGAGUUCCCACUCACAUGGGUGUUGGGCUCCGGAUCUACUACUUGGAAGACUUUCGAUCUAUUCUGACAACUUGGUGAAUAAUGGUGGUUUUGAGGAAGGUUCCCAUAGGUUGAUGAACUCUUCCAAUGGUGUUCUUCUUCCUCCCAAACUGGAGGAUCUCAUAUCCCCACUCCUUGGUUGUUUGAUUGAAGCAUUCACCGCCAAAGAUACCCUGAAAAGUUCCUUCAAAUCCAAGGGUUCAAGACCGCUAGUUUCAAGUUCAAAGCAAUUUCAGCCUGGACCAGACUAACAUUCAUCAUCUUAUACAUACUAUCACACUAGGGUAGAUGACUUUGGUUCGCUUUGUGGUCCUAUCCUGCUUGAUCAAGUUAGGGUUUUCUUUGUUGGUUAGAAAUGUUAAUCUGUCAUCAUCACCAAACUACAAAUGGAUCAUGUGUUAUAUUAGAAUUGAUGCUCUUGCAAUCACCAUUUGAUAUCUAUAAAUUGGCCACUUGGUCCAUGUAUGAUACACACAUCUUAAUACAACAUUCAAGAGCACAUCUCUAUUGUAAAUUGGCCACUUGGUCCAUGUAUGAUACACACGUCUUAAUUUAACAUUCAAGAGCAUUUUCAGUGGUUGCAA